GAUGAGGUGGCUAAGAUGAUAAGGCGAUGAACUGCUAAUCCAUUGUGGGGGUUUUUUUCAUGCGUGGGUUUGAAUCCCAUCCUCAUCG
rnacentral:tRNA from 1 species